rnacentral:rRNA from 1 species
AACGAACGCUGGCGGCGUGGAUAAGACAUGCAAGUCGAACGGAAACAUUUUAAAUAGCAAUAUUUGAAAUGUUUUAGUGGCGAACGGGUGCGUAACACGUGAGAAUCUACCAAAAAGCACGGAACAACACAGCGAAAGUUGUGCUAAUGCCGUAUGUGAUCGCAAGAUUAAAGCAGGGGACCGCAAGGCCUUGCGCUUUUUGAGGAGCUCGCGGCCUAUCAACUAGUUGGUGAGGUAAUGGCUCACCAAGGUUAUGACGGGUAGCUGGUCUGAGAGGACGACCAGCCACACUGGAACUGAGACACGGUCCAGACACCUACGGGUGGCAGCAGUCGAGAAUUUUUCUCAAUGGGGGAAACCCUGAAGGAGCGACGCCGCGUGGAGGAUGAAAGUCUUCGGAUUGUAAACUCCUGUCACCACAGAGCAAUAUUUUCAUUCUAACAAAGUGAAAAGAGGAUCGUAUGUGGAGAGGAAGGGACGGCUAACUCUGUGCCAGCAGCCGCGGUAA